UAUUCAAAGGGAACAUGCUGGAUAUAUUUAUAAAGUGAAAUGACUACUCUUUCCCUUUUUGUCAACAAUUUUAUGUGGCUUGAUUGACUUGGGUUGUUUAUUCUCUUCAUGUUACAAUUAUCACGUGCGAAUGAUUAGAAAUGUAGCUAUUAUUGCCACUUAAAUUUUGUGUCUUCCACGAUAUUACCCAAGACCCACAUGGCUUUGUAUGGGUAUAAAUAUGUGAUCCUACUUAUUUCCUAUUUCAACGUGUACAUCAAAUUCAUUCUCUCCUCCAAGAUUGUAUCUUUUUGAAAAAACGUACACAACACGCAUGAUGAAAGGCUUGGUGUUAGUGAAACCGAAUGCAAGGCUUCCACCUAAACGAGGUGAAGUAAAAAUACGUAUUUUUCAUCUCAUUAUCGAGCUUCUUAAGGAGACAGUGAUCGGUCUACCCGAUGAUAAUACUAAGGAAGGACACUCGGUACAUUUUAGAGUUUAGAGGGCAUGGUGUUUCUUGAAAAUCUAUGCAUUUUUUCAAGAUUAUAUAUGAAACUCUGUUAUUAAUAGGAUUGGAAACUAGUGAGGUGAUGAAGUCAUAUGACAUCAAGGUUUCAUGGUGUUCAACUUUGCUUGAAUGUCAAGCGCAUAUGAAUCUAUAAUAUGAAAUGGUGGUUAUUUCACCUUGAUGUUGCAUAAUGUGGAAUGGAUUCAUGAAAUAAUACGGUGUAUUGUAAUGGAAUAAAAUAGUUAGGUGAUAUUCCACUAGAAGGAAAAAAAAGCAUAUGCAUAAUUGUGCUAUAGAAGAAAAAAAAAGAGCAAGCAUGCUACAAUAUUCAUGUAAUGUGGAGACUUGGAGAUUAACUUGCAUUAUGUAAUCAUAUUUAAUUACAAUAAAAAUAUUAUAAAAUGUUUAAUC